GAUGAAGAACGUAGCGAAAUGCGAUACGUAAUGUGAAUUGCAGAAUUCAGUGAAUCAUCGAAUCUUUGAACGCAUAUUUCGCUCUUUGGUAUUCCGAAGAGCAUGCUUGUUUGAGUAUCAGUAAACACCUCAACCUCUUCUUGAUUUUUCAAAAGGAGGGUGGACUUGAGCUAUCCCAACAACCUUUACCGGUCGGCGGGCGGCUUGAAAUGCAGGUGCAGCUGGACUUUUAUCUGAGCUAAAAGCAUAUCUAUUUAGUCCUCGUCAAACAGGAUUAUUACUUUUGCUGCAGCUAACAUAAAGGAUAAUUGUCCUCUUUGCUGACUGAUGCAGGAUUUUACGACACUUUAUGUGUUGUUCAACUCGAUCUCAAAUCAAGUAAGACUACCCGCUGAACUUAAGCAUAUCAAUAAGCGGAGGA
rnacentral:misc_RNA from 1 species